rnacentral:tRNA from 1 species
GCUAUAGUCUAGUUGGUUAGGAUACAUGGCUCUCACCCAUGAGACCCGGGUUCAAUUCCCGGUG